CCUGCUCCUAGAGCAUUGCAGGUGUGGCUGCUGUGUCACACAUGCAUCAGUAAGUAUCAGCGAGGAGAGAGGCUAUGUUUAUGCUCAGUGCUCUGACCUAUGAACAUCUGAAUGAUUAGUAGUCUAACAAU
ensembl:snoRNA